rnacentral:rRNA from 1 species
UACGUAGGUGACAAGCGUUGUCCGGAUUUACUGGGCGUAAAGAGCGCGCAGGCGGUCGUUCAAGUCGAGUGUGAAAGCCCCCGGCUCAACUGGGGAGGGUCACUCGAUACUGAUCGACUCGAAGGCAGGAGAGGGUAGUGGAAUUCCCGGUGUAGUGGUGAAAUGCGUAGAUAUCGGGAGGAACACCAGUGGCGAAGGCGACUGCCUGGCCUGUUCUUGACGCUGAGGCGCGAAAGCUAGGGGAGCAAACGGG